CCUACGGGAGGCAGCAGUGGGGAAUUUUCCGCAAUGGGCGAAAGCCUGACGGAGCAAGACCGCGUGCGGGAGGAAGGUCUAUUGAUUGUAAACCGCUUUUGAUAGGGAAGAAGAUCUGACGGUACCUAUCGAAUCAGCAUCGGCUAACUCCGUGCCAGCAGCCGCGGUAAUACGGGGGAUGCAAGCGUUAUCCGGAAUUAUUGGGCGUAAAGCGUCCGUAGGUGGUUUUAAAAGUCUGUUGUCAAAUCGCGAGGCUUAACCUCGUACAGGCAGUGGAAACUAUAAGACUAGAGUGCGGUAGGGGUAGAGGGAAUUUCCAGUGUAGCGGUGAAAUGCGUAGAUAUUGGAAAGAACACCGGUGGCGAAGGCGCUCUACUGGGCCUGCACUGACACUGAGGGACGAAAGCUAGGGGAGCGAAAGGGAUUAGAUACCCCUGUAGUCCUAGCCGUAAACGAUGGAAACUAGGUGUUGCCCGUAUCGACCCGGGCAGUGCCGUAGCCAACGCGUUAAGUUUCCCGCCUGGGGAGUACGCUCGCAAGAGUGAAACUCAAAGAGUAGUGCGNGNGAGNGCGAACGAGACGACGAGAGGAG
rnacentral:rRNA from 1 species